GUGGGGAAUAUUGGACAAUGGGCGCAAGCCUGAUCCAGCCAUGCCGCGUGAGUGAUGAAGGCCUUAGGGUUGUAAAGCUCUUUUGUCCGAGAAGAUAAUGACUGUACCGGAAGAAUAAGCCCCGGCUAACUUCGUGCCAGCAGCCGCGGUAAUACGAAGGGGGCUAGCGUUGUUCGGAAUCACUGGGCGUAAAGCGCACGUAGGCGGACCAUUAAGUCAGGGGUGAAAGCCUGGAGCUCAACUCCAGAACUGCCUUUGAUACUGAUGGUCUCGAGUUCGGAAGAGGUUGGUGGAACUGCGAGUGUAGAGGUGAAAUUCGUAGAUAUUCGCAAGAACACCAGUGGCGAAGGCGGUCAACUGGUCCGAUACUGACGCUGAGGUGCGAAAGCGUGGGGAGCAAACAGGAUUAGAAACCCGUGUAGUCC
rnacentral:rRNA from 1 species